rnacentral:rRNA from 1 species
GACGAACGCUGGCGGCGUGCUUAACACAUGCAAGUCGAACGGUAAGGCCCUUCGGGGUACACGAGUGGCGAACGGGUGAGUAACACGUGGGUGAUCUGCCCUGCACUUCGGGAUAAGCCUGGGAAACUGGGUCUAAUACCGGAUAGGACCCUGGGAUGCAUGUCCUGGGGUGGAAAGCUUUUGCGGUGUGGGAUGGGCCCGCGGCCUAUCAGCUUGUUGGUGGGGUGAUGGCCUACCAAGGCGACGACGGGUAGCCGGCCUGAGAGGGUGACCGCCCACACUGGGAGUGAGGUACGGCCCAGACCCAUAGGGGAGGCAGCGGGGGGGAUUUUUGCAAAGGGGGCGCAAGCCUGAUGCGGCGCCGCGGGGUGGGGGAGGCCGGCCUGCGGGUUGUAACCCUCUUUCAGCACCGACGAAGCGAAAGUGACGGUAGGGGAAGAAAAAGGACCGGCAAACUACGUGCCAGCGGCCGCCGUAA